rnacentral:rRNA from 1 species
GACGAACGCUGGCGGCGUGCUUAACACAUGCAAGUCGAACGGGCCUGCCUGGCUUUGGUUGGGUGGGUGAGUGGCGAACGGGUGAGUAACACGUGAGUAACCUGCCCUCUUCUCUUGGAUAACUGCUUGAAAGGGCGGCUAAUACGGGAUGUUCUGGCUGCCUCGCAUGGGGUGGUUUGGAAAGAUUCGGCCUGGUUUUGGUUGUUUUGGUGGGGGAUGGGCUCGCGGCUUAUCAGCUUGUUGGUGGGGUGAUGGCCUACCAAGGCGGUGACGGGUAGCCGGCCUGAGAGGGUGGACGGUCACACUGGGACUGAGACACGGCCCAGACUCCUGCGGGGGGCAGCAGUGGGGGAUUUUGCACAAUGGGCGCAAGCCUGAUGCAGCGACGCCGCGUGAGGGAUGGAGGCCUUCGGGUUGUGAAACCUCUGUCGCCCGGUGAUGUAGGCUUCUG